GAAUCCAUACAGGAGAUUCUACC
rnacentral:snRNA from 1 species